UCCUUCUCUGGAGGUAUUGCAGACCUAUCUUAACACUUUGUUGUGCAACCUACUGUAAGGAACCUGCCUUAGCAGGGAGUUGGACUAGGUGAUAUGCAGAGGUCUCUUCCAGUUCCUACAAUUCUGUGAUUAUGUAAUGUCAGGUAGUAUCACAGAGGCAAAUGAAUUGAAAGAGGCUGGAAUCAAGACAUCAGCAGAGAAGUGUUUUGAGUAAGCACCUCUUGUCCAAGUGAAACACUUCUGGCUCAGAAAGAUUCAUUGCUGCAGUUUGGAAACAAUGCCAGCGUUGAUGUCUGAGACACAAAAGGCAGUGGAAGAGAUCUCAGAGAGCUUUGAAAGAUUUGUACAGCUGAGUCUCAAGGAUACAAAGGUGUCAUUGUUAAAGGCAGAGAUGAAUGGUAUAAAUAUAGGUACAACAUAAAAAUAAGAAUUUGGCAGCAAGAAGAGAACAUAGGUUUUAGCUAGUACAUUAAGACAAAGGAUGAAAGGGAGCUGGAACUGUGACAUGAGGCAACCAGAGAUACGUAAGUGAUCAGAUACCUUAAAUGGGGACACUGUCUGCAUCGUCUCAUGACUUAUCCCUGAAGAAGUGACAAACAUAUAAAGGCUAUUUAAUGAUUGAAGGACAGGGUUUUAAGUUCUCCCAUGAAAAUGAGACAAUGAAAAUACUGAAGAUUACAGCAUAUAUCAAAAACCUUUUAAGAAAAGGAGAGGCUGUGUCUUCAGCCAAAUGCUAAGGAAAGUAAACAAAAGCAAGCAGUCAAUAUCAAGUCUAAGUAAAGGUUUUGAAGAAUAAAAGCAGGGCAAGGGAACGCAAAAGGCAAAAAUCAACUGACAGCAGAAGUAAUGUGAGAAAUAAAAGGUAAUGAUACGAAGUAUGAAAUGCAGACAUUAAAAGACUGUCAGUCAUUGUUAAGGAGUGCAAGAUCUGGGAACAUAUCAAGGUUUUUUUGCUCUUUUCUGGCUCUCAUACUGCACUUUCUGAGUCAAAGAUUUCAGGCUAAGAUCAGGCUGGAGUGUCUUCUUCAGGCUUGGCUUCUUUUUUUUUUUUUUCUUUGAAUAAAGAAAUUGAGAAGUUGUUUCCAGUUUAAUCAAUGGCAAAACUUUCUGAUGACUUCAAGCACCAAAACUGAACUCAAAACAGAGAUUGCUGCAGUUUCACACCACCCUGUUCCAUCUGAAGAAGUAUCUCACCUCUUUUGAAAACUCUGCGUAUUUCCCUGGUGCUCAGAUGUGUAGAUGCAUGUAGUCGUGACAAGUCAGAUUUGAAAAUUAUUUUCUGUAGCUUGAUUAUUUUGAAAGUAAGUGCGAAGUGUUUUAGUGGUGAUCUGAUGGCAGGAAGUUACCCAGGAAAUGAGACACACCUCAGAAAGAAAGAAGUAUGAGUAAAAAAGCUAACAAUUUUAUACUUCCGUUACUGUCUAUAAAUUCACGGGAUGUUUGUUUGGUCUUUUUGAUCAAUGCCACUCACAUCUUCCACCAGGACUUGUAAGCCAGCAUCCUUAUAAUGGUCACUGAGUUCUGAAAACCAGCAUCUCAACAGCAGCUAGAUUUAUAAGUUUGGUGGGGGUAAAAUAACAGCACGUUAGUAUUUCUGGAGGAAAGAAGACCCUUAUUGCUCAGUAUCCAGAAGUUACUCCUCAGUUUGCCAGCCUUCACUACGCAUCAAGCAAACGCUCAAUUUGCCAAAUGACACCAAUCUCCCCUAUCGUGGCCUAACCCCAGGCAAUCAGGUUGAAGACUGAACUGUUGUGACUGAACUUGGCCACAUUUGAUUUCUAUAUCUGACAAAAGGCAAAGUGUCCAAAUUCAUUUUGAUAAAUAAUUUCCAAGUGCUUUGCAAGGCAGAAGAAAUCUCUUCCAAAACAAGUUUCUUAGAGACUUAAAGAAGAAUGACAGGAGACAAAAGGUGUUUACUUUAUCAGAGAAGUCACAUUGCUAAAUGCUAACCACAGUUAACCACAGACUUUAGACACAGAAACUGCAUGCACACAGAUCUGGAGAAUGUCACAAUCUGCUAUUGCUAAGAAGCCUCUUAGCUUAGAAGAAGUCUGCUUUUGCAGAUGCCUGAAACAUCAGCAGUUUCAGAGCAGUUUCAUAAUUAGAACUAAUUAAAAAAGCAGCUCUGGGUACAGGAUCUUUAAUACAGAUAUCCAUACAUAGCAGCUGUUCUAAGUGCAGACGAGAACUUGAAGGGUUUUUACAUACUGUAACAGCAGGAAACAGUUCUUUGGAACUGAGUAUGUAGGAGGAGAAAGCAACGUUACUGUGGACUUUCAUUGCCUGUGUUCUCUGAACAACAUGAAAUUUGUCUGGAAUUUAGGCACCAUCUAUUAGCACAUAACUUCCUUUUCCCCUUGUGCCAAUUCUUUAUUGUUCUGCUCCCGUAACAAAUGCCAAAUUCAAACUGUGAAAGCACAGAAGGUGGAAAACCAUGAACACAAGAUGUGAAAGGAGUGAAAGCAAGUGAUGUUCCCGCUGGAGCAUCAGAGCUUACAAAUUUCAUGACUAUUUAAGCCCAAAUUCUAGCUCUGUUCCUCCAAAUUCUAACAGGAACAGCUGAUGUAAAAGAGCCACACUGGACCACAUUAAUGCAAAUGUGGCCCAGCAACCUGUCUCAGAAGUGGCCAGAAGCAGUAGGAAGAGAAUAUAUUUGCCCUUUUCUUACAGGAAGAGGUUACCCUUCACAUGCCUACCCAGCUUCUGUUACGGCUCUGAAAAAGGUAUAGCUUCAAUGUCUCAUUUUCCUGUGUCAAUGUCCAAUUCUGUAAUGAUGUCUUUGUCAGCCAAACUGGCUUGAGAUGUUAUCUGUUCUCCCCCCAGCCACUCAUUCCUCAUACUGUGUCACAGCCACUGCUGCUGUGGUGCUGACGUGGAUGUUUCACAAACCAUAUUGUAAAGUGGAUCGCUGGGGUCUAAAAAGAAGGUUAAGAAAGAAAGAUUGGCUCACUGAUCUAGUUUAUAGGCCCACAGAGAGACAGAUGCAGCAGCACAACCAGAGGGAUUAAACUGUGGGACUGCGACAAUAAUCUUUCAAGCUGAUUUUGCUGACAGAAAAAAUAGGAGGGAGGCAUACUCCAAGGUUGGGGAGGAGGGGAAGAGCUGUGCCUACCAUUUGAAACAGUUAUUCUACCUUCCACAUCUCCCCAGUCAUCCACCCACACAGUCUUGUGUGAACGACCUGCUGAAUUCCUGUCCCUUCAUUGUGGUUCUUGCUUCAGAUUCAGUGAAAGAGAAAUGUGUUCUUACUUUGUUAACAUACUACCGACAAGACCUGCAGCUGGAAGACGGAAUGUUUGCGUGCAGCAUCUCUGCUGGGGUAUAGAUCAGAGGCAUAAAUCUCUACCCAUCAGUUAGGUAGCACAGUAGAGAAAAGCUCCCCUUGGAGCUUGUGAGUUCCUCCAAACCCUGGGAUGGAAUUGCAACUCCAUUAUGCAAGGUUGCAGGCACCGCAUUCCUGAUCUGACAUACCAAGAACAAUGGCCCAGAGCUCUUUACCUCCAAGGAAUUCAAAUAUAAUUAUCACUGCCAUGAUACAAGAGCCCAAGGUCUCUUCAGAUCACUGUAAUGUCUUCUUUAAAACUGGAAACCUGGAUUGUACUCUCCUGGAGGUGACUCUGGGUGGAAAUUCCUGGGGCAGGGAAGAACCAGAUCUGGACUCCCGUGUCUUGAAGCGGGUGCUACCUCAGCAGUAGUUCCAUUUACAAAGCCAGGUUUGCAUAAAGCAGAUGCUUGCCCCCCUGCACACCUCUCUGUGCCCUGGCUGGCUGAUCCUGCACACACAGCACUGUGAAGGGAGAGGCCUCUGUCCCUUCAUCAGUGAGCCAAACCUGGCAUCACCCUGAUAACCAUAACCUCACCUCUUAGCACUGCACUGCCCCACAGCCACCGUGGCACCAGCACCCCUCCUCUUCCUCCUCCAAGGCAAACAGGAAAACUGAGGGGCUGGGGUCUGUCUGUCUCUGAGCUGGAAGAGGCAAUCCCAGGGUUGGGAAACUGGGGUAAGGACAACUGAAGUCAGAACACUAAACAUUAAAUGCCCUAUGAGGGCACAAAACUUUGUGCUGCUGCUCUCUAAUCUCUGUUUCCUGUUAGGUUCCUGGAGCAAGGUGGAGUGAGAUACUUUAACCCAGCUAUGAUUCAGUAUCCAUGUGAACAGCAUCACGCUUCCUUUGCCACCUGUCCUGCACCCUGUGCACCCACUAGCACAGAUGAGGUGCUCCACUCAUUCUCCCCAGAGGCUGUCUUUGUGCCCAAGGAUCUGCCUGGAGGGCAGUAGUGAAAUGGAACUGGGGAAAGUGUAGCUCAGACCUAUAGAACCCCAGCUGCACAGUGGGCAGUGCAACAAGGAUCUUGUAGAUCUAUGUCUCCUGGCCUGGACAGGGCUGUGUGGGGACAACUCAUCAUUCCCAAUGGCAGCCUCCCAAGUACAGUGGUUCUUUUUGGGAACAUCCCUCCCCGCCUCUUCUCUCUGAAGGAGACAUCUCCUGAAAACAUUCCCCCCUUUAUCGCAUCACAUCACGUUACAGUCCUCCUUACUUACUGCAGUACUGCAGUAGUGCAGGUUGCUUCUCAAGCCAACAUCAGCCCUUGGUCCUUUCCCUAGAGAGCUUUCAUGCCCAAAUGAACCACGUGAGCUCCAUGAGGUGGCAAUGAGAAGUAAAGAAAGGCAGAGAUUGGCCCCAGUGCCCAUAGCAUGAACCAGAUGGGAUGUGCGACAGGAUCUGCUCUGACUGGGCAGGCUGGGGAAGCAAGGAUCUCACGGCAGCAUGCAGCCACUUCACAUACGAUGGAAAAUGUUUCAACUGCUGGAGCUGAGGCCCACAGGAAAAUUUUGGGAAGUGUGUGCUGGGUCUAAGACAGGAACCAAGAGAGUCAGUGUUUAAAAUAUGCACUGACAAUGAAUUGCUUCAUUACUUAGAGAAAAGUUGAGAAGGGAGAAAGGAGUAAAACUCAGCUACAUUAGGAAACAGGCAAGCUAUUGUCUGAUGGGUACACCAGGUUGUUGACUGCUGGC